rnacentral:rRNA from 1 species
UGGGGAAUCUUAGACAAUGGGGGAAACCCUGAUCUAGCCAUGCCGCGUGAGCGAUGAAGGCCUUAGGGUUGUAAAGCUCUUUCAGCUGGGAAGAUAAUGACGGUACCAGCAGAAGAAGCCCCGGCUAACUCCGUGCCAGCAGCCGCGGUAAUACGGAGGGGGCUAGCGUUGUUCGGAAUUACUGGGCGUAAAGCGCACGUAGGCGGAUUAGUCAGUCAGAGGUGAAAUCCCAGGGCUCAACCCUGGAACUGCCUUUGAUACUGCUAGUCUUGAGGUCGAGAGAGGUGAGUGGAAUUCCGAGUGUAGAGGUGAAAUUCGUAGAUAUUCGGAGGAACACCAGUGGCGAAGGCGGCUCACUGGCUCGAUACUGACGCUGAGGUGCGAAAGCGUGGGGGAGCAAAACAGGAUUUAGAUACCCUGGUAGUCCACGCCGUAAACGAUGAAUGCCAGUCGUCGGGUUGCAUGCAAUUCGGUGACACACCUAACGGNUUAAACUUCCGCCUGGGGAGUACGGUCGCAAGAUUAAAACUCAAAGGAAUUGACGGGGUCAUAGCUGUUUCC